GGUGAGGAAACUGAAGAUCACAGAUGUUAAGUGACUGCUAAUGAUCAUUCAGCUGGAAGUAUAUGCUUUGAUGGUGGUAAACCCUGAGUGGCUCCUACAACAGGGUUGAGAAGGGUAAUUUUUCAGGAGCUGUCCUGAGGGCUGGAUGAACUCCCUGGCCCUGCAGAAGAAACCACUGUCUGAUGCCUGUCUGCCUGCUUCCCAGUGGUCGCAGCUACUUGAAGAGGUGCCAUGCGGACUAGUCUUUCACCAGCCACCGUGGACUCUGGCAGAAGGUGCCAUCAUUACUGUUAAGAACUGCAUUUAGAAAUAAGCAGGAAGACUGGAGGGGUUAUUUUGAGCCUCAAAUAGUAUUAAGUUGGAACCUGAAUCUUCUGAAAUGACAGCCUGACUUCUGAGCGGCCGUGCUGAGGAUCUUGCUGCUCUCCGUUGGAGGGGAGCCUCUGUUUCCUGGUCACCGGAACAAGAUUCACUGAGCACGUGCUAUGUGUCUGUCGGGAGUGUGAAGCACUGGGGAGUCAAACAAGAAAGGCUGCUUGUUCAGCCCUUGAGCAACUCACACACCUGUUCCGGAAGCGCACACGGUGCCAUGUGAUCUUACAAGAGAGGGCUCAAGGGACCACGACAGGCUCAGGCCAUUACCCAUGGAACUGGCCAGGGAGAGCCUACCUGUCAAAUUGGCUGGAACGUGGCAAGAUAAACUCCUGAGAGAGACAGCACGAGAAAGGGAGGGGACCGAGAGAGAGGGAGACACAGAAUCCCAAGCAGGCUCCAGGCUCUGAGCAGUCAGCACAAAGCCAGAUGCGGGGCUCGAACCCACCCACUGUGAGAUCGUGACCUGAGACCUUAACCGACCCAGCCACCCAGGUGCUGCCAGAAUUUCUGUAUUUUCAGAACUGAAACUGGUUUAGGCACUUGAGUGAAAAUGGCAAGGUGGCCGAUUUGUCUGAUGGUUUCUUUUUAUGGACUCCAGAGGGUUAUAUAAUCUCAUACCUAGAAAUUUGGUUUAACUGAUCAAUCUUCUACAUUAAUGUUAAGGUUCACACUUCUGUUUAUGCCUCUGCCAUCUCCCCCACGGGACCGUAAGCUUCUUGAGAGCAGGCUUGCCUUGUGAGUGAGCAUGCGCAUGGUGCGCUGCCCAGACAGGUGCCCAGGAUUUUCAGAUCGCUAGGGGGAGCCACACGAGGUUUCUUCUGGAAUUUUUACAGGCGCCAGUUCCUCAAAGCCGGGAGUUCUGAUCUGGAUUGUCAUGGCAGCGUCCUCUCCCCCAAAUAAGAACGUACAUUUUGCAGGAACUGUCUGCAGGGUGAUGCAGCAGAGGCCGUGGACUGUGUGUAUAAAACCAUUUGCUGUCUGCGCAAAACCUGGGCCUGGUGGCUCCUCUGCACAGUUCCCGUGUGCCUUUGGGCCAGAAUCCCUUGAACAGCUUAUCAGGCAUUUUUUCUUGAUUCCCCUGAAGUUCCUGGGAGGUUCUGAGUCCCAUGCAGGAGGAGUAGGUGGUUUUUCUUUCUCAACAGACACAUGCCAGUCUUGCUUUUUGGAGCUUGUGUGAGGUGUGAAUGGACUCUUGCCAAGAGAGCAGGGCAGGAGAUUGACGGGGACUAGGACUGGGGAGAAGGAGGUAUUGAUGACGAAACGGGGUUCUUGGAUCAGCCCGGAAGCGGAAGUACUCCCUGUCAGGCACAGACUGUGGGGCGACCCCCGGUGGAAGGGGACACGAUCUUGCCAAACAUAGGAUGGGUGAGUGCCAGGUUCUCUGCCCAUCCUGACCUCUUUACUGUGCUCUGUGCCCUCGUGGCUGGUGGUCAGAAAUCCUCGCCGAAGAAUUGGCUUUUAAAAAUCUCUGAUGCUCCUGAGCCAUGAGGUGUCGUCUGGGGUGGAGGGUUGGCAGACUGGGGUUCAGGACUUCUCCCGUCUGGUCUCUGUUCUCACAGUUGCUCCAGACUUCCCUCAUGAUGCAGCCGAGCCCCUGGGCAAGGCUGGCCUGAGUUUCCCUGAGAUGAGCAGGUGGGAAGGUGGAGAUCCA